rnacentral:rRNA from 1 species
CCUACGGGUGGCAGCAGUGAGGAAUAUUGGUCAAUGGACGAGAGUCUGAACCAGCCAAGUAGCGUGAAGGAUGACUGCCCUAUGGGUUGUAAACUUCUUUUAUAUGGGAAUAAAAUGUUCCACGUGUGGGAUUUUGUAUGUACCAUAUGAAUCAGGAUCGGCUAAAUCCGUGCCAGCAGCCGCGGUAAUACGGAGGAUCCGAGCGUUAUCCGGAUUUAUUGGGUUUAAAGGGAGCGUAGGUGGAUUGUUAAGUCAGUGGUAAAAGUUCGGGGCUCAACCCCGUCGUGCCGUUGAAACUGGCGUGCUUGAGUGAGCGAGAAGUAUGCGGAAUGCGUGGUGUAGCGGUGAAAUGCAUAGAUAUCACGCAGAACUCCGAUUGCGAAGGCAGCAUACCGGCGCUCAACUGACGCUCAUGCACGAAAGCGUGGGUAUCGAACAGGAGUAGAUACCCGGGUAGUC